rnacentral:misc_RNA from 1 species
AUCGAUACAAUUGUGUAAAGCAAGAUUUAUAUACUUGCAACAGGCAUGUUGUAAAAGGUCGCCCGGGAAGUGUAACAGAGCUUACCAGUUUCCUUUAUCUUGAAUUCCACCGUGGUUACAAUCACACUUCUCCCCUGCCUAAGUAUGCAUGCAUCAACCUCUAUCUCCGCGUUGAGUCUCCCGGCCGAGAGGUAAGUAGUGCUCAGCUCCCCGAGAAACAACUCCUUGUCCCCCGCCACCGUCCUGGCGCAUGCCUCCGCUACCGUCUCCGUCACCGCCGCCA